rnacentral:lncRNA from 1 species
GCCGGAAUUAGUUGAGUAGUUGUUACAAGGAUGUUCACACAAUUUGUCCUUGAAUGAAUAAGGGUGAGUGCUUUCAGUGCAAGUGUUAACCAGGAAUCCGUCAAAGCUUCAAUUUCUGCUCUUAGUUGUAGCCAAGCCUCUCUUUUUGCUGGACCAAGAAGACCUCCAACAUUGUUUUUGUAGGUAUUAUAUAUUUCUUUUACUCGUCUGUAGCGGAAUGCCAAUUUUCUCAUCCAAUCCACUCCUCCACGCACCCCUGUCGCGAGGCACAAAUUAGCGCUGGUGGCAGCUGCGGGAAAGCCAUCCGUUCCAAAGUUAUAGGUGCUUAAAUCUUGACCAUUGUCAUCUGAAGACACGUCAUCAAUGUGAACCUGGUCGCAUUCUUCUAAAUCAUUAAAGAAUAGAUGCGUGUCUGCCAAAUUGAAAAUCAUCUCUUCCAUUCGAAGUCCAAG